UGUUAAAGGGCCACGGCCGUUUUUGGCGAGCCGCGUCGGCGACUCUUGCUCUAGCUCCCUUUCUGAGGAGGUGUCUGGGACUGCCAGGGGCUGGCGGCACGCCUCAGGGGGCCGGCCGAUUGUGGGACCGCGGUCGGCAGGGCCGCGCCGUGGGGGCAGCCCCCGGGGCGGCGCGGAGGGGGUUAACGCAGUGGCGGCCUUGCCCCAGCCGUCGCGCGUGCGCACUGGGCAGGCGGCGGGUCUGGCGAUAGCCCGGGCGCGCCACCCUUGACCCCCGUGCUUCGCACGCUGUGCGGCCGGCGGCUGGACCGAGGGCGGUGCGGGCGCUCCGGCUUCUGGCUGCGGGCCGUGGGGGGUCCCGCGGGGCUCAGGCGGCUCAGGGGCCUGAGUGGGUGCGGGGCUGGGUUCGUGCGGUUAAAAACCACGUAAGGUGGGCGGAGUGACCGUGCGGACGCCGCUGCUGCGCGGACGGAGCUCGGCCGGGUUCCGAGACUAGACGGGGGACAGUGCGACCGUCACGAACUGGGAGCUAACAUCAGGGUAGAAGACAGGAUGCAGAGGGGGAAGCGCCUCCGAGGAGGUGACACUGCGGCUGAGACCCGAAGGGGAGGGGGCGCCCGGCAGAGGGAAUAGCCGCGCUACGGCGUUGCAAGAAGGGAGGGGAGGCCAGUGUGGCGGCUCGCAGGCCAGGCUACGAAGGUGGAGUUCAGCGGUGGUGGGGCGACGUGGAGGAUGUGCAACAUCCGGCGCCGAGGCUUCUUCACCCUGGCCGGUGAACAGCGCAGGCAGGGAGGCAGUCAGCCUUCUGGCAAAGCAGUGGCCCGGGCCCAGGCAGGAGGCUGGGAGAAUAAAACCCGGCGCCAAAGAAGCUAGCGCUUUCGGGUUUUGUUCCCCACGGGGCCGCCAGCGUUCCCCCACCCGUGUCCGGCAAGCGGUUGUUACUGCAUGACCCUUGGUGGGAGCAAGGAAGGUGCACCCCGCCCCAGACGUUGUCCGAACAGGUAGGUGCAUCAAGGAAGAGAAGGGAACAGAUCGAAAUCGGAUCUUUCUGGAGAAAGGAACCACUGUGAUUUGGAGACGGACUAACCGCUAGGACAAGGACAGGGGAGUCCAGGUUGCAGCUUGGUGACCAGACGGUUGGUGCUGCAGACGCUGUCUGCACGUCAUUGUUCUCUGCGCUCUGUGGUUUUCCCAGCCUGUGGAUGGUGGUGCCUUUCCCUGUCCAGCCAAUCUGGCCCCAUCCGGAGGUUGUCAGCUGUGCCCCAACACCUUCACCCCGGGCUGGGGGGCGUCUCAGAGUCACGGACAAAAGGGAGCCCGGAAGGAGCAGCCCCCUCCUGUGUCCCUUCUGCUAAGGCACCAACACAUUCCUAGGGGGGAUGUGUUGGCAGGCAGGCAGUCAGUCCGGUGCAGGGGCCUCCCUUUGGAUUUAGAUUUGCCCUGGCGUGGUGGGGGUGCAUUUAGAGCAUUGAAUUCUCUACUGUCAUUGUCACGUCUGCCAUGGCCACACACGGAGGAGUGAGUGGAACAGAGGGCAGCCCUGGCUCUCCCCUGCAGCCGUCAAGGGGCCCAGAGGGUCAGCACUGGAGACAGGGUGGCCGUGGCAGCAUGUUGGAGCCCCACACAUCCUGGGGCCACCAUCACUGCAUGCCCAGGGCCGCACCGGCACCCUAGGUGGGGAAGGAGUGGGCCAGCGACCCUACCUUGGCAAGGGUGGGAAUAAUCCAGCCGGGCAGCCAACCCCCGCUACUUUUUAAAAAAUGAGCGGAAUGCUAUAGUUUGGCAUGCAUAUAAAUUUUAACACGUUUUAUGUUAAAUCUAAAAGCAUGAUUUAUUCAUACACAUGAAUUUAAUCAAGUUUGUUUCUAAAUAUUGCUGAUUUUUGUUACCAAGUGUGUUAUCAGCUGUUGAGCUUUAAAAUUUGAGCAUCUUUUGCCGUUUUGAAGAUGAACAGAAUGUGUUCAGAAGAAACAUAAGGAAAUAAAUCUGGAGGCCGCCUGCCCCCUGGCCUUCCAGGAGUUCUGGCUUCACCCUUCUUACACCCCUGUGCCAACUUACUGAGGCCCUGGGGGCUGAGGGCUGGGACGCUACGUCCUUUGGGGACCUCGGGAGGCCUUUGGCCAGGUUUGGUGGAGGGGGGUGGGGCAGGGCUCCUGGAGACUGCAUUGGGCAGCCAGCCCCAGGCCUGGAGCACUAUACCACAGGCAUCUUUCAGGCUUUGCCAGUGUCCUGAGCCCCUCCCUUCCCUUCCAGGGUCGGGGGCCACCUGCUGGCAUGUGGCACUGCUCUCCAUUUGGAAACGUACCCUUGUCAAGACAGAAUAUUCCCUCUGCCUUCGUUUUCUGUGGGCCUCUGCAGUGCUUGCCCUUGGAGGGAGGUCAAGGAUAGUGUGCCUGAGCCGGGGCGGUCACAGCUGGGCGCGGAGCAGUGGAGCUCGUACGCUGCAUCGUUGGCGGACCUGUGGGCCGUGUCGCAGUGUCGACUGGGGCCAAGAUGGCUUGGCCCUGCUCCUAGGACCUACGUUGUGCCAUCCACAGCCAGCCGACUUGGGACUUCUCCAACCCUGCAGGCGUCUGAUGCCAGCCUCUGUGUGGUGUAGGCCGGGCCCCAGGAGCGGGGCCUGGGCAGCCCUGUGUGUUGAGGAAGGAAGGCAGGGCCCCCGCUCCCCGGGCCCGACCCCGUAGCUUCAGCUCCUCGUGCCUGUUUGAGGACAACACCACGUGGGCCUAUUAGGUGGGGAUGGGACUCCAGGGCCCAGCACCCCGCUUCCUGGUGCUCUCCUGGGCGGGCUGCCGGGGUCGAGACCUCUGCCUUGUCAUGCCUUCUCAGGCAGCCUCUCAACCUACCUGCCCUGAGCUCCCUCGUGCAGGGACCCCAGGGGCUUUGCUGUCCUUUGGGAAAGGGAGAUAGGCUUCAGGGACUCGAACCUCCCAGGGUUUGGAGGUGGACCUGAGACGGAGUUCAAGGAAGGCACCUCGUGUCUGCAGAGUGGGAUAUCACACGUGGCCCGCUUGCCUCAGCUGAGGGGUGGAGUGAGCAGCCUAAUCCUGACUUUGGUUUUGGGGCCACCUCUUUGCUGCAGGAGCCCCUCUGGGUCCAGAUAGAGCCCAAGCUGUCUGCCCAGGAAUGUCCCUUGGUGUAUUGGUAAGGGCCACAGGGUCUGGGUGAGCACAGGUGGCCCUCCCUUCUCACUGACCAGUCUCUGUGGGGGCGGGGGCGGGGGGGGGGGUGUCUCAGAGGACCUGGCUGGCCUACACCAUCGGUGUCGUGCUGGUUCCCAGAAGCGAGCCGAACAGCAGCUGGCAUGGGGUGUCCUGCAGAUGCCAUCGCCAAAUCUGUUGCCCUGGCUGGUGGUCUAGCCCCGGGCUGGCCUCUCGGAAACCUCCCCCCUCACCUUCAGGUUCUGGCACUAUGGGUGUCCGGGCUGACUGCUCUGGGGCACCGGGACGUUGCUGUCUCUGUGGUCAAGGGACUGACUGACUUCAGCCCGGGCUCACGUGGGUCCAGGCUGGACCGGACGGGCUGGCUCCUCUCCCACCUGCGAUGUGUGGUCAUCCCCAGGCAGCUUGCGGCCGCCCUUGGACCAGCCUUCCGGCCUUCCUUCCAGCUGCUGGCCUUGGCUCACUCCUUCUUCUGCCCUGGUCCUGUCAGCUGCUUUGUGAGACAGGGCUGAAGGUCCCUGAGACUGAGGUGACCUUGGCUCCUCCUGGAGUCCUGGAUUGAAGAUCUGGAUUGGCGUUUGCCCAGCAAAAAAACCUGUCCAGUUUGUUUUUCUGUGUCCCUGCGACCAUAGGGUCAGGGACACCAUGGGGGGCAGGGGCUGGGCCCUAGGGUAGGGUCAUUUCUGCUAGCCUGUGGGUCUUCCUAAGUGAGGUGGGGUCUCGCCAGCUCAAGUGGACCACGAAGGCACACUUGUGGACCCCUUGAGGAUGCGAACCUGCACACUGCAGUCGUGGUGGAGACUGGGGUCGUGUCCUGGGACCUGGCUCUUAUCUGGGGUACCCGGCUAAAUAAAGGAUCCUGUGUCCCGGCUCCCUCUCCCUGGAGCAGCCAUGUGCCUGCAUUCUGUGCAACAACGUGGACGCAGAAGCACAUAACAUCCGGGAGCUGUGUCCUCCUCCCGUCCCCCUGCUGCUUCUGUCUGGAGCCUCAGACAGAACUUGAGGGAGGCCUGCACCUGGACAGAGCAGGCAGAUGGAGGCCGGCUUCCCGAGGCCUUGUCGGCGACAACACCCAGACCACUGUCUCUGGACUUUGUACUUGACCGAGAAAUAAACGCCUGUCUGGUUUCAAAGCU